rnacentral:rRNA from 1 species
AGAAUCAACGCUGGCGGCGUGCCUAACACAUGCAAGUCGAACGAGAAAGGGGUAGCAAUACCCCGAGUAAAGUGGCGCACGGGUGAGUAACACGUGACUAACCUACCCUGGAGUGGGGGAUAACUGAGGGAAACCUUAGCUAAUACCGCAUAAUACCCACGGGUCAAAGGAGCAAUUCGCUUCAGGAGGGGGUCGCGGCCGAUUAGUUAGUUGGCGGGGUAAUGGCCCACCAAGACGAUGAUCGGUAUCC